rnacentral:rRNA from 1 species
GUCUAUGGCCAUACCGCCCUGAAUACGGCCUAUCUCAUCUAACCUUGGUGGAAGCUAGGUGUGCUUGGGCCUGGCUAGUACUUGGGUGGGACGCUGCUUGGGAAUACUGGGUGCUGAAGGCU